rnacentral:lncRNA from 1 species
CCCCCCCUCCAUGUCGCUGCUCUCAGUGUAGCUGGUGAACUGAAGCACAGAAAAUAGUGACAAUGCCUGCACUUCGCUGAGGAAAGCCAUCUGAGUUUGGACUCUAUCUGUUAAUACUGUUUAGAAUCUUCUAUUGCAAUAGAAAAUGCACCUUUCAUACAAAGGCUAUCUUCUGCAAAGACUGAUUAAGCCUUACAGUGUCUUGAGAGGCAUUCUUAUGUACCUUGAGAGCAUGAAAACAGUGAAUAAGGAGUUCUCAAUAAGUAACCAAUAGAAAAUGCAGGCAUAGGGUAUGGAUGACCUCACACCUGUCUGGAGUCUGUCUCAGAUGUUCAUU